ACCAAGGAGUCUAACAUGUGCGCGAGCCGCGGGGCAGUACGAAACCCGUAAGGCGAAAUGAAGGUGAACGCCGGCGCGGUCCGGCGGAGGUUGGAUCCCGUCCCGUCGGGGCGGGCGCACUACCGGCCGAUCUUCUCCGCCCUGUCGGCGAGGUCGAGCGAGAGCGUGCAAGUCGGGACCCGAAAGAUGGUGAACUAUGCCUGAGGAGGUUGAAGCCAGAGGAAACUCUGGUGGAGGACCGUGGCGAUUCUGACGUGCAAAUCGAUCGUCAAAUUUGGGUAUAGGG
rnacentral:ncRNA from 1 species